CUGAGUUUUCAACUCUCCAAACCAUGUGAACUUACCACUGUUGCCUCGGUGGUUGGUCUUCGGCCUGACCACCGGCUGGACUACUAAACUCUUGUUAAUUUUUGGCAUUCUGAAUCAUAACUAAGAAAUAAGUUA
rnacentral:misc_RNA from 1 species